rnacentral:rRNA from 1 species
UACGAAGGGGGCUAGCGUUGUUCGGAAUUACUGGGCGUAAAGCGCACGUAGGCGGAUCGGUCAGUUAGGGGUGAAAUCCCAGAGCUCAACUCUGGAACUGCCUUUAAUACUGCCGAUCUCGAGUCCGGAAGAGGUGAGUGGAAUUCCGAGUGUAGCGGUGAAAUGCGUAGAUAUCAGGAGGAACACCUGUGGCGAAAGCGGGUCUCUGGGCAGUAACUGACGCUGAGGAGCGAAAGCGUGGGGAGCGAACAGG